rnacentral:rRNA from 1 species
UACCAGCACCCCGAGUGGUCGGGACGUUUAUUGGGCCUAAAGCAUCCGUAGCCGGUUCUACAAGUCUUCCGUUAAAUCCACCUGCUUAACAGAUGGGCUGCGGAAGAUACUAUGGAGCUAGGAGGCGGGAGAGGCAAGCGGUACUCGAUGGGUAGGGGUAAAAUCCGUUGAUCCAUUGAAGACCACCAGUGGCGAAGGCGGCUUGCCAGAACGCGCUCGACGGUGAGGGAUGAAAGCUGGGGAGCAAGCCGG